AACGAACGCUGGCGGCAUGCCUAACACAUGCAAGUCGAACGAGACCUUCGGGUCUAGUGGCGCACGGGUGCGUAACGCGUGGGAACCUGCCCUUAGGUUCGGAAUAACUCCCCGAAAGGGGUGCUAAUACCGGAUAAUGUCUUCGGACCAAAGAUUUAUCGCCUUUGGAUGGGCCCGCGUUGGAUUAGCUAGUUGGUAGGGUAAAAGCCUACCAAGGCGACGAUCCAUAGCUGGUCUGAGAGGAUGAUCAGCCACACUGGGACUGAGGCACGGCCCAGACUCCUACGGGAGGCAGCAGUGGGGAAUAUUGGACAAUGGGCGAAAGCCUGAUCCAGCAAUGCCGCGUGAGUGAUGAAGGCCUUAGGGUUGUAAAGCUCUUUUAACCGGGAUGAUAAUGACAGUACCGGGAGAAUAAGCUCCGGCUAACUCCGUG
rnacentral:rRNA from 1 species